rnacentral:rRNA from 1 species
AUGAUAUCAAUGGCGAGCUUGGUCAUCACCGUCUUGGUGCUUCUGGUUCGAAGCGAUAUGUAUAUGUGGGUUUGGGUUCUGUCCACUGUAUGGUCUCAUGGAUCUGCUAUGAUCAAUGCCCACUGCAGCAGGAUUGUUCACCUUCUGCUCAUAUCUCUGUGCCGCCAAGAUCAGUUUUGCGGUCUAGUUCUCCCUUGUGGCAACUAUGCCUGUUGUACAGUGUGUAGAGAGCACAUACUUGUGCAUGUGGUUGUUUGGAUCAACACUUUGAUUCUUGGAUCAAGCGUGUGUCCUGACAAUGAUGAUGGGAACUCGAGUAUUCUUAUGUUUCGGUGA